rnacentral:rRNA from 1 species
GUGGGGAAUAUUGGGCAAUGGGGGAAACCCUGACCCAGCAACGCCGCGUGAGGGAAGAAGGUUUUCGGAUUGUAAACCUCUGUCCUUGGUGACGAAGGAAGUGACGGUAACCAAGGAGGAAGCCCCGGCUAACUACGUGCCAGCAGCCGCGGUAAUACGUAGGGGGCAAGCGUUGUCCGGAAUGACUGGGCGUAAAGGGCGUGUAGGCGGCCGAUUAAGUCUGGAGUGAAAGUCCUGCUUUCAAGGGUGGAAUUGCUUUGGAGACUGGUUGGCUUGAGUGCGGAAGAGGUAAGUGGAAUUCCCAGUGUGGCGGUGAAAUGCGUAGAGAUUGGGAGGAACACCAGUGGCGAAGGCGACUUGCUGGGCCGUAACUGACGCUGAGGCGCGAAAGCGUGGGGAGCGAACAGGAUUAGAAACCCGAGUAGUCC